rnacentral:rRNA from 1 species
CUGGCUCAGGAUGAACGCUAGCGGCAGGCUAACACAUGCAAGUCGAGGGGCAGCGGGAUGUAGCAAUACAUUGCCGGCGACCGGCGGAUGGGUGCGUAACGCGUAUGCAACCUACCUUAUACAGGGGAAUAACCUUUCGAAAGGGAGACUAACACCCCAUAGUAUUGAUUUAAGGCAUCUUAGAUUAAUUAAAUAUUUAUAGGUAUAAGAUGGGCAUGCGUAUGAUUAGCUAGUUGGUAAGGUAACGGCUUACCAAGGCGACGAUCAUUAGGGGUUCUGAGAGGAAGGUCCCCCACACUGGUACUGAGACACGGACCAGACUCCUACGGGAGGCAGCAGUGAGGAAUAUUGGUCAAUGGGCGCAAGCCUGAACCAGCCAUGCCGCGUGCAAGGAAGACGGCCUUAUGGGUUGUAAACUGCUUUUACAUAAGACUAACCGUAUACUUGCGAAUAUACCUGAAUGUAUUAUGAGAAUAAGGAUCGGCUAACUCCGUGCCAGCCGCCGC